CAGUAGCCGCGGGAAUACGUAGGGUGCAAGCGUUAAUCGGAAUUACUGGGCGUAAAGCGUGCGCAGGCGGUUUGUUAAGACAGAUGUGAAAUCCCCGGGCUCAACCUGGGAACUGCAUUUGUGACUGGCAAGCUAGAGUGUGGCAGAGGGGGGUGGAUUUCCGCGUGUAGCAGUGAAAUGCGUAGAUAUGCGGAGGAACACCGAUGGCGAAGGCAGCCCCCUGGGCCAACACUGACGCUCAUGCACGAAAGCGUGGGGAGCAAACAGGAUUAGAUACCCCAGUAGUCCCUGUCUCUUAUAC
rnacentral:rRNA from 1 species